ACACACACACACACACACACAGCUGUUAGAGCAACACUUCUAACAUUCAUCCUUACAUAGAGGAUCCCUCUUACCAUUACAAUGAAACAAUGCAUAAGAAGAGACAGAGAGACAGAGACAGAGAGACAGAGGGAGAGAGAAAGAGAGAGAGAAAGAGAGGGAGAGAGAUAGAAAGAGAGAGAGAGACAGACAGACAGAGAGACAGAGAGAGAGACACAGAGACAGAGAGAGAGAGAGAGAGAGAGAAAGUGACAGAGGGAGAGAGAAAGAGAGGGAGAGAGAUAGAAAGUGAAAGAGAGACAGAGACAGAGAGAAAGAGAGGGAGAGAGAUAGAAAGAGAGAGAGAAAGACAGAGACAGAGAGAAAGAGAGGGAGAGAGAUAGAGAGAGAUUAAGGGAGCUAUAUAGCCAUGGUCACAUUCUCCUGGCUAAUGUCAGGGAAAGACCACAGGGAUCUGAAGUGGUCAUCAAUCUAUGGUCCAUCUAUGAUCAAUCUAUGGUCAGAUACACUGUAAGUGAUGAAGUCAGAGAGUCCCAUUGAAAUGAAUUGCUAUGGAUAUGAUCACAACUAUAGGCUUGGCGUGGACAACCAAAAACUUUCCUUGAGUUCCCCUUCAAUGACCAUGACAAUUCCCUACUACAUUAAACAUUGGUCAUGUCCCAAAUGGCACCCUAUUCACUAUAUAGUGAACUACUUUUGACCAGAAUCCUAUUUUGGGACACAUCCACAGGGUUUGCAAUGUCACUCAGGGUGCUCUUGGAGAGAGAGACAGGAUAUCUGAAUCCCAAGACAGAGAUCUGUCCUCUCUCUGCCAUCCCAGCUGUCCAUCUGUCCGGCUGUCCGUCCUCAGCCUGUGACAUCAGUGUUAUGUGAAAACCCAGCCCACCACAUCCUCUCCAGGACAAUGGGGAAUAAUCAGCCAUGAUCUGUGUCAUCGGGUUACAGCACGGAAAUCAACACACAAUAUGUGUACUGUACACACAAACACACACAUUUCUAUCCACGCACACAUCCCUCACAUACUCAUACACACACACACACGCACACACGCACACACACACACACACACACACCUUGAUCUCCUAAGACUCCUACCUGUGUCCGUCAUUACUGAGAGGGGGAGACGUGUGUCUCACUGUACAGACGGACAUAAAUGAAUGACCUGUUGACACGGCUCCCUACCAUAACAGUGACUGUGUCUCAAAUGUUAUCCUAUUUCCUAUUUAGUCUACUACUUUACAUGACCGCAUAGGGCUCUGGUCAAGAGUAGUGCACUAUAUAUGGAAUAGGGUGCCAUUUGGGAAUUGGGACACAGCCGGUGUCAUUUGGGAGCUAGUGACAGCUUAUCUGUUAAACCAGUGACCUACCCCGCUCUCGCUCAUGUUCAUUCACAAGCACAAAACAGUAACAUAUACACAAACUCUAUAGUAGAGAAAUAUGAAUUUAUCAUUGCAUGUAUUUUUCUGAUGUGAGGGAGGAUUGAUUAACAGCUUGGAUUCCAGUAGAGGAAGUAUGUUACACCACAAACUGACAAAUAGCUAUAUCAAGAAGCUGGAUCCUCCGUUGCUUGCAACCACAGCCCACUGUGGUGGAAUUUCAUUAAUGGUUUGAUAACCAAACUGACAAAAAAUGUACCACCAGUCGCAAUCAUCUUGCCAGGUGCCAGAAAAUGACAUUAUAUAUUUGUGAGGAAAUGCCCAAGUCAAAUAAUUCCAUGAAAAACAUACAGCAGUUCGAUUUGUCAUGUAACAUUCCUUUACACUUCUUCAAACUUGAUAUAUGAUGCUUUACCAUCACAUUGUGUCUUGUAUGUACGUAAAAUGCAAUCAGGAAAAGGAACUUCGGGAGAUUAUUAUUUUUGCGUACCUAAAAAAAGAAUAAUUAUGAAACCACUGCACUACAGAUGAAGGAUCUUAAUUUGAUUACUCUUUUGUUUAUGAGAAUUUUCCUGCACAGAAGGAAAUGCAAACUUGUAAUGAAUUCAACUUUUUAAAAAGGCUUCUAAAGUUUGUAAUUACCACCCUAACUUCAAAUGUAUUAACGCCUACAAAAAAACGUCCAUUCGUUAUGAUCAACAUAAUAAUUAACAUUUCUUGUUGAUGAAGGAUUAUUUUCCUGCUGUAGCAAACUAGCUCAAAUGAAGAUCCUACAAGUGUAGGUCUUCAGAUCAACGUUGUAAACAGUUCCCAUGUGUUUCUGUACCAGUGGUCAGAUGUGUGGCUUCCCAAUGACACUAUGUGUGGGUAACCAAUGGCAUCCUAUUCUUUAUAUAAUGCACUACUUCGAGCUGAGUCAUAUGAGCCCUGGUCAAAAGUAGUGCAAUAUGUAGGGAUAAGGGUGCCAUUUGGGACGCAUAUGGCAUGACAGCGCAGGCAGUCUUGGUGUGAACAAGGCACUGGCUAUGUUGUUAUGGGAAAAAAGAACUAGGCAGACACAUUGGCUCUGAUGACUUCUGAGAUAUGUCUCUUCAUUUAGCCUCAUACACAAGGCAAUGAAUGAACCGCCACUAAUCAAUGUUACACAGGUUGUUGUGUGCUGUUGGCUAAAUGAUGACAUGACCUUUCUUGAUGAGAUCCAUACAAACACCGGGUUGACCGCUAGAGAGAAGAGUGUGUUCUGUAAAUGGUGAAUGACCUCAAACACAGCUGCUAUGUGUGUGAGGGGAGUGUGACAGUUAGACUCUGUUUUAAAAGUGGUAUGAGGAGGACAGUGUGACAGUUAGACUCUGUUUUAAAAGUGGUAUGAGGAGGACAGCGUGACAGUUGGACUCUGUUUUAAAAGUGGUAUGAGGAGGACAGUGUGACAGUUGGACUCUGUUUUAAAAGUGGUAUGAGGAGGACAGCGUGACAGCUGGACUCUGUUUUAAAAAAGUGGUAUGAGGAGGACAGCGUGACAGUUAGACUCUGUUUUAAAAGUGGUAUGAGGAGGACAGUGUGACAGUUAGACUCUGUUUUAAAAGUGGUAUGAGGAGGACAGCGUGACAGCUGGACUCUGUUAUAAAAAAGUGGUAUGAGGAGGACAGUUAGACUCUGUUUUAAAAAAGUGGUAUGAGGAGGACAGCGUGACAGUUGGACUCUGUUUUAAAAAAGUGGUAUGAGGAGGACAGUGUGACAGUUAGACUCUGUUUUAAAAGCGGUAUGAGGAGGACAGCGUGACAGUUAGACUCUGUUUUAAAAAAGUGGUAUGAGGAGGACAGCGUGACAGCUGGACUCUGUUAUAAAAAAGUGGUAUGAGGAGGACAGUUAGACUCUGUUUUAAAAAAGUGGUAUGAGGAGGACAGCGUGACAGUUGGACUCUGUUAUAAAAAAGUGGUAUGAGGAGGACAGUGUGACAGUUAGACUCUGUUUUAAAAGCGGUAUGAGGAGGACAGCGUGACAGUUAGACUCUGUUUUAAAAAAGUGGUAUGAGGAGGACAGCGUGACAGUUGGACUCUGUUUUAAAAGUGGUAUGAGGAGGACAGUGUGACAGCUGGACUCUGUUUUAAAAAAGUGGUAUGAGGAGGACAGCGUGACAGUUGGACUCUGUUUUAAAAGUGGUAUGAGGAGGACAGCGUGACAGUUGGACUCUGUUUUAAAAGUGGUAUGAGGAGGACAGCGUGACAGCUGGACUCUGUUAUAAAAAAGUGGUAUGAGGAGGACAGCGUGACAGUUGGACUCUGUUUUAAAAGUGGUAUGAGGAGGACAGCGUGACAGCUGGACUCUGUUUUAAAAGUGGUAUGAGGAGGACAGCGUGACAGUUGGACUCUGUUUUAAAAAAGUGGUAUGAGGAGGACAGCGUGACAGUUGGACUCUGUUUUAAAAGUGGUAUGAGGAGGACAGUCUGACAGCUGGACUCUGUUUUAAAAGUGGUAUGAGGAGGACAGUGUGACAGCUGGACUCUGUUAUAAAAAAGUGGUAUGAGGAGGACAGCGUGACAGUUAGACUCUGUUUUAAAAGUGGUAUGAGGAGGACAGCGUGACAGUUAGACUCUGUUUUAAAAGUGGUAUGUGGAGGACAGUGUGACAGUUAGACUCUGUUUUAAAAGUGGUAUGAGGAGGACAGUGUGACAGUUAGACUCUGUUUUAAAAGUGGUAUGAGGAGGACAGCGUGACAGCUGGACUCUGUUAUAAAAAAGUGGUAUGAGGAGGACAGUGUGACAGCUGGACUCUGUUUUAAAAGUGGUAUGAGGAGGACAGCGUGACAGUUGGACUCUGUUUUAAAAAAGUUGUAUGAGGAGGACAGCGUGACAGUUGGACUCUGUUUUAAAAGUGGUAUGAGGAGGACAGCGUGACAGUUGGACUCUGUUUUAAAAGUGGUAAGAGGAGGACAGCGUGACAGUUGGACUCUGUUUUAAAAGUGGUAUGAGGAGGACAGUGUGACAGCUGGACUCUGUUAUAAAAAAGUGGUAUGAGGAGGACAGCGUGACAGUUAGACUCUGUUUUAAAAGUGGUAUGAGGAGGACAGCGUGACAGUUAGACUGUUUUAAAAGUGGUAUGUGGAGGACAGUGUGACAGUUAGACUCUGUUUUAAAAGUGUGGUAUGAGGAGGACAGCGUGACAGUUAGACUCUGUUUUAAAAUGGUAUGAGGAGGACAGUGUGACAGCUGGACUCUGUUAUCAAAAAGUGGUAUGAGGAGGACAGCGUGACAGUUAGACUCUGUUUUAAAAGUGGUAUGAGGAGGACAGCGUGACAGUUAGACUCUGUUUUAAAAGUGGUAUGAGGAGGACAGCGUGACAGUUAGACUCUGUUUUAAAAGUGGUAUGUGGAGGACAGUGUGACAGUUAGACUCUGUUUUAAAAGUGGUAUGAGAAGGACAGUGUGACAGUUAGACUCUGUUUUAAAAGUGGUAUGAGGAGGACAGCGUGACAGCUGGACUCUGUUAUAAAAAAGUGGUAUGAGGAGGACAGCGUGACAGCUGGACUCUGUUUUAAAAGUG
rnacentral:lncRNA from 1 species